CUGCUUACAAUCUCUGCUCCCGCGGAAUCGUGGCAGGAGCAGGAUCCAAGGCCUACGUCAAGAGAAGCUUUAGUAAAGCAUGAUUAUCUGUUCCUGGUCUCUGAGAACCUUGCGGCACCUGUCUUCCGCGAAUACAGCCUCGUUACCCUGAGCCUCAGUGCCCUGAGGAGCCUGGGCUGUCCGAGCGCGCCUGACUGAAAAUGCGCCUCGGGUCCCGCGGUAUUCAUUGGUCCGCACUACGUUACUGUCCCUUCGAGCGCCCCCGGGGGACAAGGAGCUGACUACGUCCCUCCCUCCCCCCCCCCCCCCGCCCCAGGGUUUACUUUGCGUUUCUGUGUGCAAACAUGAGUGUACCUGAUGCUGGUUGAAGGCCGAAGACAGCGUCAGACCUCCCGGGAUUGCAGCUACGGAUGGUUGUGAACGACAUGGGAAUCGAACGCAGGUCUUCUGAAAACAGAUGUGCGGCCCGGAGAGAAGGCCCAGAGGUCCUGAGUUCAAUUCCCAGCAACCACAUGGUGGCUCACAACCACCUACAGUGAGAUCUGGCGCCCUCUGCUGGCGUGUACAUGCAGACAGAGCACUUGACUUCUCAGCACCUUCCCAGGCAUCCCGCCAUCUGAGAGUAUGGUUAACUGGAUAUGCUUCAUCUCCAACCCCCAGCAGACUAGAGGCCAAGACCUGGUGUCCCCAGGUACCCAGCAUGGCAACCCACAGUGUCCAUCUGUUCGCUGAGCUAGUGCCUAUGAAAGAAUGACUUCUUCCCACUUUUGUCGUGCGUGUACAACUACAAUAAGUGCUGAAUGACCGCAACAGGACAGCGCUUUCCUCCUGUCUGGCCUUAACUCGCAGCCAUCUGCCUCCUGAGUGGAAAGAUGACCGACCUGAGGGGACGAGAUUGGAAUCCAGGGAUUUGUGCAGGCCCGGCUUAUACUCACCACUCAGCCACGCCCCCAGCCCCUCACUGGGGGAUUCUAGGUGGGGACUCCAUCCUGACCACGCCCCCAGCCACGUCCCACCGGGGAUCCUAGGUAGGAGUGUUCUGUCUGCAUGUGUGCCUGCAGGCCAGAAGAGGGCGCCAGAUCCCGUUACAGAUGGCUGUGAGCCACCUUGUGGUUGCCAGGAAUUGAACUCAGGAUCCCUGGAAGAUCAGCCAGUGCUCCAACCUGAUGCUACCACCCUUAAUACAAUUCCUCAUAUUGUGGUGACCCCCAACCAUAAAAUCAUUUUUGUUGCUACUA